rnacentral:lncRNA from 1 species
GGCAAACCGGCUGGAGUUCCGUUUUGCGAUGUGGUUUCGUUCUUCUUUCGCUCUUUGUAAUAAAUCUUGCUACUGCUCACUGUUUGGGUCUACACUGCCUUUAUGAGCUGUGACACUCCCCAGGAAGGCCUGCAGCUUCACUCCUGAAACCAGCGGGACCACGAACCCAUCAGAAGGAAGAAACUCCAAACACAUCCCAAUAUCAGAAGGAACAAACUCCAGACACGCCGCUUUUAAGAACUGUAACACUCACCGCGAGGGUCUGCAGCUUCAUUGUUGAAGUCCGUGAGACUAAGAAUCCUCCAAUUCCGGGCACAGGAUUAUGCUGCAGUAACAAACAACCCAAGUCCCAGGAGCUUAAAACAAGAGUUUAUUUUUCACCAAAAUUAUCUAUUUAAUAAUGCAGGUUGGCAAGAUGGAGACUAGGGGAGGGUUCAGCUAGUUGUAUUUUUUCAGGGAUCCAGGGUGAUGGAAGUUUCUUCUCAACUUUUGUCUUCAGGAUCAUCUGUGGUAGUGGAUCAGAGCAUUCAAUGAUCUUCCACCACAAGUUAAAUGCUCUGGUCUAAGCUAGCACACAUGACUUCCACCCACAACUCUUCAGGUAGCACUGAUUCCAUGUCCUUGCCCAACUACAGGGUGGAGGAGGCAGAGAAGUACAAUCCACCCAGGAGCUUGGGAGGAAAGGAGAAUAGCCUCUGAAUCAUAGAAGACUCCAUGGCAGCUGCUUUUGUCUCCCUUUGUCACUGCCACGCCUCCUCUUCCUCCAUAAAUAGACAUUCCAGUGCUUUUGAUCCUCUAGAGCUCUGCCUUUUUGUUAUUAUUGUUGCUAUUACUUGAUCUACCAGUUUUUGAGAAGAGUGAAUUAAAA